AUUGAACGCUGGCGGCAGGCCUAACACAUGCAAGUCGAGCGAGCGGCGGACGGGCGUGUAAUGUCUGGGAACCUGCCUGAUGUAGGGGGAUAACUACUGGAAACGGUAGCUAAUCUCGCAUACCAUUAGAUGUGCCCAGGUUGUAUUGGCUAGUAGGUGGGGUAACGGCUCACCUAGUCGACGAUCCCUAGUUGGUCUGAGAGGAUGACCAGCAACACUGGAGCUGAGACGCGGUCCCGACUCCUACAGGAGGCAGCGGUGGGGCGUAUUGCACAAUUGGCUCAAGCCUGAAGCGGCCAUGCCGCGUAUGUGAAGAGGGCCUUCGGGGUGUAAAGCACUUUCAGCGGCGGGGCGUUACCCAAAGAAGAAGCACCGGCUAACUCCGUGCCAGCAGCCGCGGUAAUAC
rnacentral:rRNA from 1 species